rnacentral:rRNA from 1 species
AGUGAACGCUGGCGGUAGGCCUAACACAUGCAAGUCGAACGGCAGCACAGUAAGAGCUUGCUCUUACGGGUGGCGAGUGGCGGACGGGUGAGGAAUACAUCGUAAUCUACUUUUUCGUGGGGGAUAACGUAGGGAAACUUACGCUAAUACCGCAUACGACCUACGGGUGAAAGCAGGGGAUCUUCUGACCUUGCGCGAUUGAAUGAGCCGAUGUCGGAUUAGCUAGUUGGCGGGGUAAAGGCCCACCAAGGCGACGAUCCGUAGCUGGUCUGAGAGGAUGAUCAGCCACACUGGAACUGAGACACGGUCCAGACUCCUAAGGGAGGCAGCAGUGGGGAAUAUUGGACAAUGGGCGCAAGCCUGAUCCAGCCAUACCGCGUGGGUGAAGAAGGCCUUCGGGUUGUAAAGCCCUUUUGUUGGGAAAGAAAAGCAGCAGGUUAAUACCCCGCUGUUCUGACGGUACCCAAAGAAUAAGCACCGGCUAACUUCGUG